CAAUAUCACAUUGUAGGAAUUAAAAGGGAAUUAGGUGUAAAUCCUAAACAAUUCCCGUUGCUGUAAGUUCAUUUGCAUUUCGUGCAAACAAAAUGAUUUUAUCACUCUAAGCCACUGUAUCUUUUUUGAUAUGGGAAGGCGAUAAAAUUGGAACAAGUCAGAAAACCUGCCUUUAUACAUU
rnacentral:ncRNA from 1 species